UACAGAGGGUGCAAGCGUUGUUCGGAAUUAUUGGGCGUAAAGCGCGUGUAGGCGGCUUUGCAAGUCGGGUGUGAAAGCCCUCAGCUCAACUGAGGAACUGCAUCCGAAACUGGCGGUCUGGAGUAGUGGAGAGGAAAGCAGAAUUCCUGGUGUAGAGGUGAAAUUCGUAGAUAUCAGGAGAACACCGGUGGCGAAGGCGGCAUCCUGGACCGGUAUUGACGCUGAGGCGCGAAAGCGUGGGGAGCAAACAGG
rnacentral:rRNA from 1 species